rnacentral:rRNA from 1 species
UAGCCUUGACAUUGAUUGCAUGGACCAGAGAUGGACCGGUGCCCUUCGGGGAACAUGAAAAC